UCACUCAAGUACUUCAGUGGUCAAGAGUCAAAAGGAGAGGAGGAAAACAGGGAUUCAACGAGGAUUGGAUAAAUGGAAUGGGAAACAAACAGAAAGAUAAAGAAGAACUCGGCGAAAUCUUGCUUGAAUUUUAUUACUGAAGGAAGAAACCUCUGAAAGUCUCUGUGGGGUUAGUGGUGCAAGUCAAGAGUCGUUUUAAAACCUGUCAAAGUAUAGCAGUAGUAGUGCGAGAAAAAAAGACGUUCAGAAAUCUGU